rnacentral:rRNA from 1 species
GAUGAACGCUAGCGGUGUGCUUAAUGCAUGCAAGUCGAACGGGAUCCUUUGGAUUUAUCUAAAGGUGAGAGUGGCGAACGGGUGAGUAACACGUUGGUGACCUGCCCCAAAGAGGGGGACAACCACUGGAAACGGUGGCUAAUACCCCAGAUGUUGUUGUUUCUAGAAAUCAACAACUAAAGCUUCGGCGCUUUGGGAGGGGCCGGCGGUCCAUCAGCUUGUUGGUAGGGUAAUGGCCUACCAAGGCAAAGACGGAUAGGGGGCGUGAGAGCGUGGCCCCCCACACUGGUACUGAGACACGGACCAGAUACCUGCGGGUAGCAGCAGCAAGGAAUAUUGCCCAAUGGACGAAAGUCUGAGGCAGCAACACCGCGUGAAGGAUGAAGGCCUUCGGGUUGUAAACUUCUUUUCUGGGGGAAGAGAAAGGACGGUACCUCAGGAAUAAGUCUCGGCUAACUACGUGCCAGCAGCCGCGGUAAAACGUAGGAGGCGAGCGUUAUCCGGAUUUAUUGGGCGUAAAGCGCAUGUAGGCGGUUUUCUAAGUCGGACGUGAAAGCUCUCGGCUCAACUGGGAGAGGUUGUUCGAAACUAGGAAACUUGAGGAUGGUAGAGGAGAGUGGAAUUCCCGGUGUAGUGGUGAAAUGCGUAGAUAUCGGGAGGAACACCAGUGGCGAAGGCGGCUCUCUGGGCCAUUCCUGACGCUCAGAUGCGAAAGCUAGGGGAGAGAACGGGAUUAGAAACCCCGGUAUUCCUAGCCGUAAACGAUGUCAACUAGGCGUAGGGGGUUAUUGACCCCUCCUGUGCUGCAGCUAACGCAGUAAGUUGACCGCCUGGGGACUACGGCCGCAAGGCUAAAACUCAAAGGAAUUGACGGGGACCCGCACAAGCAGCGGAGCGUGUGGUUUAAUUCGAGGCUACGCGAAGAACCUUACCAAGGUUUGACAUACUGGUGGUAGUGAAACGAAAGUGGAACGACCCUUCGGGGAGCCAGUACAGGUGCUGCAUGGCUGUCGUCAGCUCGUGCCGUGAGGUGUUAGGUUAAGUCCUGUAACGAGCGCAACCCUCGUCGUUAGUUAUAUGUGUCUAACGAGACUGCCGGUGAUAAGCCGGAGGAAGGUGGGGAUGACGUCAAGUCAGCAUGGCCUUUAUAUCUUGGGCUACACACACGCUACAAUGGCCGGUACAAAUGGGCAGCCAAGUCGUGAGACGGAGCCAAUCCUCUAAAAGCCGGUCUCAGUUCGGAUUGUAGGCUGCAAACUCGCCUACAUGAAAGUCGGAGUUGCUAGUAAACGCGCGUUCAGCAACAGUGCGUUGAAUACGUUCCCGGGUCU